GCCUUGCUGUGUUUCUCCAGCGUUUUCUUUUUAUGUCAGAGGAAUAAGCUGCGAGAGGAAGGUGGUAGAGGUAUGUUCCUUUUACAUGGAGCACUGAAAUAUCAACAUGAAAUGAAAAGUACCAUUCCCAACUGUGAUCUUAUAUCAUCUAUUCACUAAUACAAUUGAAAAACACAAUGUCAGCCUGAAAAGGGAGAGCUCGGAAGGUCAGGACUGAACAAACACCGCAUAGAUAUGUCGGCACAAUAAGGUUUUAAAAUAACAUUAAAGUGACAAGAGACUUUCUGUGUAUGACAAGUAUAUCUUGGGCUCGAAAGAACAAUACAACACAUCUUAUGUUUACUGUCACCUUCUCAACAAAUGUAUCAAAAUGUUCAUCACAUGGAUAAUCCACUGCACACCUUGAGCAGCCAUACAAUCAGGAAAAUUGUCUACAAGAUGAGGGUCUUAAAUUUUCUUUAAAUUGAAGCUUGACUCGUUUUGUCCGAACGCUGACAACAUCCAAACAAUGAAAAGUGGCGAUUUAAACCAUGAGAUCAUACUAUAAAAAGAGCCAUUCGAGGAAAGCACAAUGUGCCCAAAAUGAUCACUCUUCGAGUACCUUAAAUAUAUUCCAUAGCUGGUUAUAAUCUUGGCUCUUGCCCGCUCUAGGGAAGCUAUCAAACCGACGGGGAGAUGAAUUUAUUUUCGACAUUUGACUUCCAACAUGACUGCCAGGGGAAUGGAACAGGGUAAGUUGCAUUUGGUCGCAGGGAGAGACAGAGAGAAAAAGAUUUGCUUUCAGCAAAUAAAAUAGCCCAACAGAAGCCAAAUUUCUCAGAAUAGAUCAAAGUUACGUAAGAGUUAACUGGCUCACCAUGUUGCCAAAUAGAGUAGAAACAUUUACUCUGAUUGUAUCCCUCUCUCCCUAAUUAACAAACCUUAGAUAUUAAACCGGAUUAUACCAGUUUUAGGAAUAGUUAAGAGGUGUUAAAUUAAAUAAUGUUGUAAGAAACUUCCCUACUUUCAAACAGCCAUGAAAACGGUUUAACUAUCGUUUAAUGUAUUUCCUCUGAACUUCGCCCAACAUUGACAGUACAUAAAUUAUGUUCAUUAAAUAUUCAAAGCUGAAUACCAAACUGUCAUCGGAGUUUAAAAGAUCCUCGAAGACUUGUUUAUCUUAAAGAUUCUGUAAGUGCGAUUACAAUGGCACAGGAAUAGAACAGGUUAAUGAUACGUGUUAGGAGGGAAUGAUAUAUACAAACUUUGAUUAAACGGCAUGACUAUUGGAAUAUAACAUCGAAUCUUCAAUCGUCAAGUGAUUGAAUCUUCUUGACGAUUUAUUUACACAAGCUUUCAUCAAAAUUUAAUCUGAUCAAUAUUGGAAACUGGCAUAUAGUUAUUCUGGGUUUUGAUGGUAUGCGUCCUUUAUGUUUAGUGAAUGUUUACUCUUAAGAUUGUACACGUCUAUAGUGGAACACUGAAAAGUUGGAAUUUACCUGCUAGAACAGAACGCAUGGAAAAGUGUAGAUUGUGGUCCUCAUGAAAUUGGCAGGAACAUAUUUAGAAAUAAUGAGAACACUGCUGGACGAAAUCACGUUGUAAGUCCUUGUUUUAUCCGGCUAUUAUUUUGUUUUACUGUUCGCAUUUGAAAAAUUGGAAUCGCAUUUUCCAUCAUUAUUUACUUCUCUAUCACGCUCAUUGCGUGAGUUAGAAUGUGAAAUUGGGGGUAUCUCCAGCACACAGCCCGCGCCCAGACUUCAAUCAUGGCUGCUCUUGACGAGUGGCGAAAAUAAGCUAAUUGAAAAUCCGAAUUGCAGGUCACAAAAUCAUCCUAAAACAAACUGUGGUGGAAGGGAUCCUGUUCUAGGUCACAGUGUGUUACAUUUCGAAAGUAAAAUUAAAUUUCGUCCUUAUUCGUGUGGAUGUGUGUCUGGGAGAAAGGUGUGUGUGUGUAUGUGGGGG